UUUUCUUUUUUUCCCCCUCACAGCAGUUCAUAGAACUCUGAUGUUAGGUAGGACUGAAAGGCUUUAGGGACAUGCAGAUUUUAGGGCUCUUUGUUAUGCAGAUUAUGUCAUUUGUGUAAUGAGGUGUAAACACAGCUCUAAUUGCUUCUCAAAAGUGUUUGAGGUAGUUGGAGAAUUUUCCCCAUAUUUUGCAUGUGACCAAGGACUGAUUAAAGACCCCGUGGUGCAGCUUUGCUUUGGUUGAGUUUGAAAGGACGAUUGUUCAUUUCUAGUUGAAACCAAAACUGUUUUGUGGAAACUGCAAGGAAGUAAGUGUGUGCUGUACAUCCUUAUCGCCUUGUGAAGUAGUCUGACAGUCUGUACUAUUAAAAGACUUUUUUGUUGCCUAUUGCUUUCAAGUGAUUCCUGAUGCCUUCCCUAUAAUGAGUUUUUUGGUGGAGUCAGUGGACUUACUGUCGAACAAUUCCUCAAGAUCAAUGGCUUUCCUAAUGCAUUCUGGGGCUGGGGCGGAGAGGACGAUGACCUCUGGAACAGGGUUCAUUACGCAGGUUUCAAUGUGACCAGGCCAGAAGGUGAUAUUGGG